GACGCAAGUCACGCAACCAUUUCGACGUCUGCUCCUACAGAAAGGCAGAAACUUCCCAAAUCACAAGAGGGGGAAAAAGAAGAUAAAAAAGGAGAGAAAGAAGCCGUCAAAGGUAGUGGGGGCGGCGGCGCCUUGGAACUUGUUUUUUUUUUCUCUUGUGGCGAUCUGUGCGAAGAAAUCGAAGAACCCUACUACCUCUGUUCCCCCAGAUUCAGCGUCGAUUCCCCAAAUUGGCUCCCGCGGCCAGGCUGAGAUGGUACGGCUUCCUUCCCUAACGGGAGGUUGCUCCUUAGAAGGUUAGAUUGUAUGAAGAACUUGAUGACUCUAUGAUCGAUCAUCUUCUCCAGAUCCCCCUCCAUUCGUACGAUUCAGUGCAAAUUUCUAAGGGUUUUUUGAAGGCCUUUUGCAAUUCUUCAAGUCCUAAGUUUCAACUCUUCUACCUUUUCCUUUUUCUUUGGUGCCCUGAAGAGGCCAAGUUUAUUCUUCUUGAAUUUGUAGAUGCCGUGGAAAUUCUAAUCAGCUAACAAUGGUAUCUCUUUCCUUAGGUUUUCUGAUUGCGGAUUGGAGUGAUGAAUUUGAGACCAGUAGUUCUCAUCUUCCUCCUGCUUGUGCUCAUUAUCACAUCACAGUUUGAAUGGAAGCAGCAGGUUGGUGAGGCUGAGGCAAACCCAGCAGCUACACGGCGAAGGCAACAAGUAAUACUAAGGGAAGAUGCUGUUAAAGAGAAAAUAAUAUUGGCACAGGAGAAAAACAUUCAACAGCUAAAUGGGCUUAUUCAAAGCCUUCAGCUGCAGCUACUACAUUGCCGUCUCAGUAAUAGUACUGCUCACACCACCUCAAAUAAGUCGACGAACAACAGUGCAGUGGAGGGACAUAAAAUGAUUGAUGAUUAACCUCUCAGCUGUACUUGUAAUAGCAUAAUAGGUUGCUAACUUGAUGGUAUACAGCCAGCUCAAGAGCAGGCAUCUUUGAGGCAAUGAAUACCUUUAUCGUCAUCAUCCAGUAGGACGGAAGUAAGGCAUAUUGUUUUAUGUAUUGAAGCUGCGUGCUUAGCUUUUUCUAGCAUUAUCAUUGACAGUAUUAUCCUUUUUUUUUCUGCACAAUCUUGUACAGGAUUGUACUAUGUACCAUUUUUUUCUUACUUAUGUUGUAUCAUAAUGAUUGAAGUUACUUUCCUGAUUAACUACCAAAUAUAUAGUGCAGAUGUUUCAUCUGAUUCUUGGUC